AACGAACGCUGGCGGCAGGCUUAACACAUGCAAGUCGAACGGAUGUAGCAAUACAGCAGUGGCAGACGGGUGAGUAACACGUGGGAACCUUCCUAGGGGUACGGAACAACUCAGGGAAACUUGAGCUAAUACCGUAUACGUCCGUGAGGAGGAAGAUUUAUCGCCCUUAGACGGGCCCGCGUCGGAUUAGCUAGUUGGUGGGGUAACGGCCUACCAAGGCGACGAUCCGUAGCUGAUCUUAGAGGAUGAUCAGCCACACUGGGACUGAGCCACGGCCCAAACUCCUACGGGAGGCACCAGUGCGGAAUCUUGAACAAUGGGCGCAAGCCUGAUCCAGCCAUGCCGCGUGAGUGAAGAGAGUCUUCGGAUUGUAAAGCUCUUUUGCCAGGGACGAUAAUGACGGUACCUGGAGAAUAAGCCCCGGCAAACUUCGUGCCAGCCGCCGCCGUAA
rnacentral:rRNA from 1 species